rnacentral:rRNA from 1 species
UAGUCGUUGGGUCCCCUGAGGACUUAGUGACGCAGCUAACGCAAUAAGUAGACCGCCUGGGGAGUACGGCCGCAAGGUUAAAACUCAAAUGAAUUGNCGGGGGCCCGCACNAGCGGUGGAGCAUGUGGUUUANUUNGAUGCAACGCGAAGAACCUUACCUGGUCUUGACAUAUCUAGAAUCCUGCAGAGAUGCGGGAGUGCCUUCGGGAAUUAGAAUACAGGUGCUGCAUGGCUGUCGUCAGCUNGUGUCGUGAGAUGUUGGGUUAAGUCCCGCAACGAGCGCAACCCUUGUCCUUAGUUACCAGCGGGUUAAGCCGGGAACUCUAAGGAUACUGCCAGUGACAAACUGGAGGAAGGCGGGGACGACGUCAAGUCAUCAUGGCCCUUACGACCAGGGCUACACACNUGCUACAAUGGUAGGUACAGAGGGCAGCUACACAGCGAUGUGAUGCGAAUCUCAAAAAGCCUAUCGUAGUCCAGAUUGGAGUNUGCAACUCGACUCCAUGAAGUAGGAAUCGCUAGUAAUCGCGGAUCAGAAUGCCGCGGUGAAUACGUUCCCGGGCCUUGUACACACCGCCCGUCACACCAUGGGAGUUGAUUGCACCAGAAGUGGUUAGCCGA